rnacentral:rRNA from 1 species
CUAAGAAUAUUCCGCAAUGGACGAAAGUCUGACGGAGCGACGCCGCGUGGAUGAAGAAGGCCGCAAGGUUGUAAAAUCCUUUUGCUGGGGAAGAAUAAGUCCAGGAGGGAAUGCCUGGAUGAUGACAUGAACCGGCGAAUAAGCCCCGGCCAACUACGUGCCAGCAGCCGCGGUAACACGUAGGGGGCAAGCGUUGAUCGGAAUUACUGGGCGUAAAGGGCAUGUCGGCGGUUUAGUAAGCUUGGCGUGAAAGACCACAGCUCAACUGUGGGGUUGCGUUGAGAACUGCUGAACUUGAGUUACGGAGAGGGAGCUAGAAUUCCUGGGGUAGGGGUGGAAGCUGUAGAGAUCAGGAAGAAGACCGAUGGCGAAGGCAAGCUUCUGGCCGAUAACUGACGCUGAGGUGCGAAAGUGUGGGGAUCAAACA